UUUGAUUUUGUUUUUUAGAUCUAGGGGUUUUGGUGUGAUUUUUGAAAAAGCUAAUUAGAUAUUUGGAAAAAAAAAGUAAAAAAUGAAGUUUUUAUGAUUUUUGUAGGAUUUUUAACAUCAGCAAGCAGUGGUUAGCGACAGAGGAUGCAGCAUGACUGAGGAAAAAUUCAUCUAAAUCUAGAUUUGGCACUGCCGAUUUUUUAGGAUUUU
rnacentral:lncRNA from 1 species